CCAUCUUUUGAUCGCCGACGGACUGGAUAAGAUCGAAGUUUAGUUUCUGUUCUUACCGAACUAACCCUCGAUAGAGACCCGAACGUAUCCCAUGAAGGUUAUUUGAUCCCUGGAACCGGAUAGGUCCGUGGGGUUGCCCGCAACCCAUCACCGGUCGGCCCAGCACCGCACCGCCGCUGGGAUCGCCAGACCCCAA
rnacentral:snRNA from 1 species